CCAGACCUCCACGUUAUGAUAGUCCCAACCUCUCAAGAGUCCUCUCCUUUUCCUAGAUUGAUUUUUUCCCAUGUUGCUGCAGGAUCCUCUCCUUUCCUCGAUCUGGCAGACCGUGUUGCUACAGGAUUCUUACCUUUCUCUCGAUCUGUCAGGUUGACGACUCCGGCGGCUGGUGGCGCUCCAACUCAUCGCCGGCGAGCAGAAGUUGGAGCCUCGCGCCUUGAGGUAAAAAUCGGUUGUCAAGAAUGUGAGGCAUGGGAUCUACAAUUGCUGAUUUCGGUUAGAUUGUCUUAUAUAAGCCAGAAUUUGCACCAUGGCUGAAAUCAGCUGCAUAGUUGGGCAUCUCUAACAUGGUGAGCAAAUCAAUUUUCCAAUAAGAGAUUGGUUAGCUGCUCAACCACUAUUGAAUGAUUGCUUCACCGGCUACCUGACUACCUUAUUCCUCCAACUAGGGUUUGAUUUUGGACGAUCAAAGUGCAUACAUGGCAGGAUCCAAUUGGUUGGGAUUCAUUUUGCACAUUACUACUUUCAUGCUCGGGUUUUUUCACAUCAUGGUGUCACCACGAUUAUACUCAGCAAUCUGUUAUUUAUGUUGUCUCCUGGUCAAUUUUGUAUAUAUACAUGUUGUUUCCCUGAUUAAAAGUGUUACGUAUGUGCUAAAUCAUAUUUUUAGAGAACUAAUAUCAUAUUACGGAGCAUUUGUUUGUUUGUUUUUUAGGAUCCUGGAGCAUCGAUCAUGCUCUGCCUCACCACAUCAUACCUCUCACCACUGAGGAUGGCAUAAAAGAUAGAGCCAUUCUUGAGUCGGCGCCUGUGUGCAUGCAGCGCUGCCACCUCAUGUAGUUGCUUCAAGACAACAGCGUGUCCCGCCCCGAGUGGCACGCAUGGCUGACGGCCGAGAUGGCACCGGUGUAGGAGCUUCUGUAGGAGGAGAAGUCAGGAGCUCGGACCAUCAGUGUGGCCUGAUGCCUCUCUUGGAUGUAGUCUGUAGGUAACAACAGCUAAACUCUUAUGAGGACAAAAUCUAUCCGAUGGAACUUCUUUAAGCUCAACAACCAGGUAUGCAAAGUGGCCCUUUUCCUCUGCCCAGCUCCAAUCUUGAAAUAUCCAUCUUCCUCUCGGAGCUGCACAUGAUUUUUAGGUAAUGCAUACUGAAAAAUAGCUGAAGGAACAGUAGCUGAUGCCGAUUGUAUAGCCUUUUCUUAUAAGACAAGUUAUAUGAAAAUCCGUAUUUGCCGCAAUCGAUUCUUAUAAAUUGUGAUACUGCAAGUGAUACUUAUUAUUGUUGGAUGCAAUUUCUGAACAAUAUGAGCAGGCAAUGCCCUAGAAACAAGAUGUUGAAGAAAAUCAAUUGGCUGAAGAACUACUGAUCGGUAGUAGUGUUGGGUUAUCUGGGAAUAAUACAGUAGCAGCCAUGGUGUCAAAGUUUCUUAAAGUAAGAACGGAUCCAUGUGAUCUAUUCUUUUUAUUGAUAUAUUAACUAACUAUAUAUGUCGGAACUUAUCUGAUGUUGAUACUUACAUGUGGAAUAUUUCUGAAGCAGCAUUGUCCUUUACUUAGUAUUUAAAUUUAGUGUAAAUUACGUGCAGCACAGCCUGUGUCGUUCGGAUAUCUAUAUUAUUCAGAAAUAGCAUAAUAUUUAAUAGUGUA